rnacentral:rRNA from 1 species
CCUACGGGAGGCAGCAGUGGGGAAUAUUGGACAAUGGGCGAAAGCCUGAUCCAGCCAUGCCGCGUGUGUGAAGAAGGCCUUCGGGUUGUAAAGCACUUUCAGUGGGGAAGAAAGCCUUGGGGCUAAUACCCUCGAGGAAGGACAUCACCCACAGAAGAAGCACCGGCUAACUCCGUGCCAGCAGCCGCGGUAAUACGGAGGGUGCGAGCGUUAAUCGGAAUUACUGGGCGUAAAGCGCGCGUAGGCGGUCUGAUAAGCCGGUUGUGAAAGCCCCGGGCUCAACCUGGGAACGGCAUCCGGAACUGUCAGGCUAGAGUGCAGGAGAGGAAGGUAGAAUUCCCGGUGUAGCGGUGAAAUGCGUAGAGAUCGGGAGGAAUACCAGUGGCGAAGGCGGCCUUCUGGACUGAAACUGGCGCUGAGGUGCGAAAGCGUGGGUAGCAAACAGGAUUAGAUACCCUGGUAGUC